UUGCCAACAAAGUUUAAGUUGACAAGCAGGUAUUCUUUAUUGGGGCGCCGGGAGACACAGGGGAUAACUCCUCCUAACGUGUGUCUCCGUAUUGUUACACAAACCA